AAGUCGUAACAAGGUUUCCGUAGGUGAACCUGCGGAAGGAUCAUUAAUGAGUUAGGGUCUUCCAGGCCUGAUCUCCAACCCUUUGUAUAACUACCAUGUUGCUUUGGCGGGCCCGUCUCUAACCGGACCGCCGGGGGUGUUUAACCUCUGGCCAGUGCGCGUCAGUAGCCCAUAACAAAUUCUUUUAACCAUGUUAAAUCUGAAAUUAGUUAAAUAAACUAAAACUUUCAACAACGGAUCUCUUGGUUCUG
rnacentral:misc_RNA from 1 species